rnacentral:rRNA from 1 species
AUUGAACGCUGGCGGCAGGCCUAAAACAUGAAAGUCGAACGAGUGGCGGACGGGUGAGUAAUGUAUGGGAAACUGCCCGAUGGAGGGGGAUAACUACUGGAAACGGUAGCUAAUACCGCAUACUAUCGGAUGUGCCCAGAUGGGUUUAGCGAGUAGGUGGGGUAAAGGCUCACCUAGGCGAAGAUCCCGAGCUGGUCUGAGAGGAUGAUCAGCCACACUGGAACUGGAACACGGCCCAGACUCUUACGGGGGGCACCAGUGGGGAAUUGUGCACAAUGGGCGCAAGCCGGAUGCAGCCAUGCCGCGGGUAUGAAGAAGGCCUUCGGGUUGUAAAGUACUUUCAGCGGGGAGGCGUUACCCACAGAAGAAGCACCGGCUAACUCCGUGCCAGCAGCCGCGGUAAUUC